rnacentral:rRNA from 6 species
GCGACCCCAGGACGGGCGAGGCCACCCGCUGAGUUUAAG